rnacentral:rRNA from 1 species
GAUGAACGCUGGCGGCGUGCCUAACACAUGCAGGUCGAACGGAGUCGUUUUGGAAAAUCCUUCGGGAUUGGAAUUCUCGACUUAGUGGCGGACGGGUGAGUAACGCGUGAGCAAUCUGCCUUUAAGAGGGGGAUAACAGUCGGAAACGGCUGCUAAUACCGCAUAAAGCAUCAAAUUCGCAUGUUUUUGAUGCCAAAGGAGCAAUCCGCUUUUAGAUGAGCUCGCGUCUGAUUAGCUAGUUGGCGGGGUAACGGCCCACCAAGGCGACGAUCAGUAGCCGGACUGAGAGGUUGAACGGCCACAUUGGGACUGAGACACGGCCCAGACUCCUACGGGAGGCAGCAGUGGGGAAUAUUGCGCAAUGGGGGAAACCCUGACGCAGCAACGCCGCGUGAUUGAAGAAGGCCUUCGGGUUGUAAAGAUCUUUAAUCAGGGACGAAACAAAUGACGGUAC